GCCCUGGUGGCGAAAUUGGUAGACGCACCAUCUUGAGGGGGUGGCGGGCAACCGUAGCGGUUCGAAUCCGCUUCAGGGCA
rnacentral:tRNA from 1 species